GAGUUUGAUCAUGGCUCAGAUUGAACGCUGGCGGCAUGCCUUACACAUGCAAGUCGAACGGCAGCACGGGAGCUUGCUCCUGGUGGCGAGUGGCGAACGGGUGAGUAAUGCAUCGGAACGUAUCCUGGAGUGGGGGGAUAACGUAGCGAAAGUUACGCUAAUACCGCAUAUUCUGUGAGCAGGAAAGCGGGGGACCUUCGGGCCUCGCGCUCUUGGAGCGGCCGAUGUCGGAUUAGCUAGUUGGUGAGGUAAAGGCUCACCAAGGCGACGAUCCGUAGCAGGUCUGAGAGGAUGAUCUGCCACACUGGAACUGAGACACGGUCCAGACUCCUACGGGAGGCAGCAGUGGGGAAUUUUGGACAAUGGGGGCAACCCUGAUCCAGCCAUGCCGCGUGAGUGAAGAAGGCCUCGG
rnacentral:rRNA from 1 species